rnacentral:rRNA from 1 species
AUGAACGCUGGCGGCGUGCCUAAUACAUGCAAGUCGAGCGAACAGACGAGGAGCUUGCUCCUUUGACGUUAGCGGCGGACGGGUGAGUAACACGUAGGUAACCUACCUAUAAGACUGGGAUAACUUCGGGAAACCGGAGCUAAUACCGGAUAAUAUUUCGAACCGCAUGGUUCGAUAGUGAAAGAUGGCUUUGCUAUCACUUAUAGAUGGACCUGCGCCGUAUUAGCUAGUUGGUAAGGUAACGGCUUACCAAGGCAACGAUACGUAGCCGACCUGAGAGGGUGAUCGGCCACACUGGAACUGAGACACGGUCCAGACUCCUACGGGAGGCAGCAGUAGGGAAUCUUCCGCAAUGGGCGAAAGCCUGACGGAGCAACGCCGCGUGAGUGAUGAAGGUCUUCGGAUCGUAAAACUCUGUUAUUAGGGAAGAACAAACGUGUAAGUAACUGUGCACGUCUUGACGGUACCUAAUCAGAAAGCCACGGCUAACUAC